AGAGUUUGAUCCUGGCUCAGAUUGAACGCUGGCGGAAUGCUUUACACAUGCAAGUCGAACGGCAGCACGGACUUCGGUCUGGUGGCGAGUGGCGAACGGGUGAGUAAUACAUCGGAACGUGCCCAGUCGUGGGGGAUAACGUAGCGAAAGUUACGCUAAUACCGCAUACGAUCUACGGAUGAAAGCGGGGGACCGUAAGGCCUCGCGCGAUUGGAGCGGCCGAUGUCAGAUUAGGUAGUUGGUGAGGUAAAGGCUCACCAAGCCGACGAUCUGUAGCUGGUCUGAGAGGACGACCAGCCACACUGGGACUGAGACACGGCCCAGACUCCUACGGGAGGCAGCAGUGGGGAAUUUUGGACAAUGGGCGCAAGCCUGAUCCAGCCAUUCCGCGUGCAGGACGAAGGCCUUCGGGUUGUAAACUGCUUUUGUACAGAACGAAAAGCCUUGGGUUAAUACCCUGAGGUCAUGACGGUACUGUAAGAAUAAGCACCGGCUAACUACGUGCCAGCAGCCGCGGUAAU
rnacentral:rRNA from 1 species